AUGAGACGAAAAGACCAAACCAAACAGCCAAAAUAAAGAGGCCUGAAGCUAGUUCUGAGGUAGGUAUAAUGCAAUCAUGAGUACUAUGUAGAUUUUUCAUUUACUUAUUUUAUUUUUCUGUUCUAUGUGCAAUCUCUUUGAUGACAGAGCAAUAGUGAAUUUUCAUUUCACGCUCAUUAGCAAAGAUGACUCGAAUCAUAGGCUAAAACAAACUGACCUUGAGGCAGUACCGAGCGGAAACAUCCUGAUCAAACACCCCAAGUGCAACCACAGGAAGUGAUGAAAAGAAGACAUUAUAGAGAGACAACAACCAGUCAUUGUAUGCGGGUUGUCCAGAGAAUGAUGCAUACACCUCAUAUAAGAAUAGAGUGAAACCAAAUGUGAUAUUCUUGUAGAAAAAGUAGCAUAUCUGCCAAUGAAAAAGUUAAUAGAAUAUCAGAGCCUUCCAAUAUAUUCUACAACCUCUAUCUACAAUAUUUAGAAUAUAAAGCUAAG
rnacentral:lncRNA from 1 species